UGUGGAAAGAGGAUUCGUCCAAGUGAAGUAGAGGACAGUGGCGGACGGGUGAGUAACGCGUGAGGAACCUGCCUUUAGGAGGGGGACAACAUUCCGAAAGGGAUGCUAAUACCGCAUAAAAUUAUUGUAUCGCAUGGUAUGAUAAUCAAAGAUUUAUCGCCUAAAGAUGGACUCGCGUCCGAUUAGCUAGUUGGUGGGGUAAAAGCCUACCAAGGCGACGAUCGGUAGCCGAACUGAGAGGUUGAUCGGCCACAUUGGGACUGAGACACGGCCCAGACUCC
rnacentral:rRNA from 1 species